GACGAACGCUGGCGGCGUGCCUAAUACAUGCAAGUAGAACGCUGAAGGAGAAGCUUGCUUCUCUGGAUGAGUUGCGAACGGGUGAGUAACGCGUAGGUAACCUGCCUGGUAGCGGGGGAUAACUAUUGGAAACGAUAGCUAAUACCGCAUAAUAUUGACUAUUGCAUGAUAGUCAGUUGAAAGGUGCAACUGCACCACUACCAGAUGGACCUGCGUUGUAUUAGCUAGUUGGUGGGGUAACGGCUCACCAAGGCGACGAUACAUAGCCGACCUGAGAGGGUGAUCGGCCACACUGGGACUGAGACACGGCCCAGACUCCUACGGGAGGCAGCAGUAGGGAAUCUUCGGCAAUGGACGGAAGUCUGACCGAGCAACGCCGCGUGAGUGAAGAAGGUUUUCGGAUCGUAAAGCUCUGUUGUAAGAGAAGAACGAGUGUGAGAGUGGAAAGCUCACACUGUGACGGUAUCUUACCAGAAAGGGACGGCUAACUACGUG
rnacentral:rRNA from 1 species